CCGUUAAGUCAGGGGUGAAAUGCUGCGGCUCAACCGUAUCACUGCCUUUGAUACUGGCGGUCUUGAAUCAUUGUGAAGUGGUUGGAAUAUGUAGUGUAGCGGUGAAAUGCAUAGAUAUUACAUAGAACACCGAUUGCGAAGGCAGAUCACUAACAAUGUAUUGACGCUGAUGGACGAAAGCGUGGGUAGCGAACAGGAUUAGAUACCCUGGUAG
rnacentral:rRNA from 1 species